rnacentral:rRNA from 1 species
AGCGAACGUUAGCGGCGGGCCUAACACAUGCAAGUCGAGCGAGAAAAGGGUUUCGGCCCUGAGUACAGCGGCGGACGGGUGAGUAACACGUAGGUAACCUGCCCUCCGGUGGAGGACAACGGUCCGAAAGGACCGCUAAUACCGCGUACGUUCCUCGGGACCUUGGUCCUGGGGAGGAAAGCCGGGCAACUGGCGCCAGAGGAGGGGCCUGCGUCGCAUCAGCUAGUUGGCGGUGUAACGGACCACCAAGGCAACGACGGGUAGCUGGUCUGAGAGGACGAUCAGCCACACUGGAACUGAGACACGGUCCAGACUCCUACGGGAGGCAGCAGUGGGGAAUUUUCCACAAUGGGCGAAAGCCUGAUGGAGCAACGCCGCGUGUGUGAUGAAGGUUUUCGGAUCGUAAAGCGCUUUCGACUGGGACGAAAAACCUUUGGCUAACAUCCAGGGGCCUGACGGUACCAGGAGAAGAAGCACCGGCUAACUCUGUGCCAGCCGCCGCGGUAACAC